rnacentral:tRNA from 1 species
GAUCGCCUGAAUAGCCUGGAAAUACUGAAUCGCAUUCCUGCCUUCUAAGCAGGUUGUCGUUGGUUCGAGUCCAACAGGGGUCGCCA